UUUGUCACCAUCGUCUCAGACGCUUCCAAUUCACCAUCGUCGGUUUGCAAUCUCUGCACAUCCCGUUACACUGUAGUUAUCACGAUCUACUCACCCUCAUUCAAUUGCAUUCUUUACUUCAUUCUUUAUCAGCUAUGCUAUCCUUCCACCUCCUUUUUUUCACUCUUUUAUAAACCCUUUCUCGAUGAAUCCAGAAUGACCAUCUCCCUUUCUUCGUCAUAUCCUUUUUCUUUUUAAUCUUCUUCUCUCUCUCCCACAAUUGUUCAUGCCGAGAUGACCUUAAAAAAUGAGUUGGCUUCACCAAAAUGGAGCUGAGAAACACAGUCUGGUAAUGGAGAUUCCUAUUGGCGCCACCGUAAUCACCAUUGGCGGUAUCCAAAGAAGCCAGUGCCAUCUUAAUAUCAUGGAGAAGGACUUCAAGUGCUUCACUACGAAGAAGGCCAAAAGUAUGAACCACACUAUGAUUACUUUGUUGACGAGUUCAACACUAAGAAUGGAGGUCAACGCAUGGCUACAAUGCUCAUGUAUCUGACGGAUGUUGAAGAAGGCGGUGAAACGGUGUUUCCUGCUGCCAAUAUGAAUUUUAGUUCCGUACCAUGGUAUAAUGUGGUAAAAAUGGACUUUCCGUAAAGCCUAGAAUGGGCGAUGCGUUGCUCUUCUGGAGCAUGAGGCCCGAUGCUAUGCUAGACCCCUCAAGCUUGCAUGGUUGAUGUCCUGUGAUUAGAGGGAACAAGUGGUCAUCUACCAGAUUUUAGACCAACUGUGGAUAAUAAGCCACCAUCAAAGGGAAAGAACAGGACUGGUAUUAUUGUUGGCGUCAUUGUUGGCUUAGGACUUUUGAGCAUCCUUGCGGGUGUUGGUAUCUUCAUCAUACGAAAAAGAAGAAAGCCGUACACUGAUGAUGAAGAUAAUAAGAACUCUUUUUUUUCUUUCUUGAGCUGAAAAUGUUUUGGCAUCAAACUGGAAUAUUCAUCUUUCAGAUUGCUUCAUUUUAAGAACUGUUCUUCUUCUUUUUUUCUCGCAGAGCUGCUUAGUAUGGAAAUAAAGCCUUUCACAUUUACUUAUUCGGAACUUAAAAGUGCAACUCAAGAUUUCAAUCUCUCAAACAAGCUUGAAGAGGGUGGGUUUGAGCCUGUUUAUAAGGUACAAACUCAAAUGAUUCAGUUUUCUUUAAAAAGCUCACAAGUCGUGGACCUCUUGCUAAGAAAUUUAUCCAGUGGCUCCUAUCACUUCACCAGAUUGGUCUUGAUGUGAACCGUACAGACAGGUCUUUGGAAUUUUAUGAGAAAAGGGAGAAUCUGUCCAAGCUUUGGGAUAUUCUCUCUCUGUUUAUGCCUGGAUAGACCAAGAUGUCGGUUACUGUCAAGGAAUGAGUGAUCUUUGUUCUCCAAUGAUUGUUCUUCUUGAAGACGAAGCUGAUUCAUUCUUUUGUUUUGAGAGAUUAAUGCGUCGAUUGCGAGGAAACUUCCGGAGCACGGGGAGAUCUGUUGGAGUUGAAGCUCAACUUACUCAUUUGUCUUCAAUUACUCAGAUUAUUGACCCCAAGCUUCACCAACAUCUAGAAGGCACACUAACAAGAAGGUUCUGGCGCGUAAACACUAGAGUUGUGGUGAAAGUGACUCUAGCAGCUCGGAUACUGACUCUGUCAGUGACAGUGGAGAGAAGAGAAGAAGUAAGGUACAAAGAAACGAAUUAUAAUCAAAAGAAUUGUAUCUUCUGAAUCUGAAGUUGAGAGUGACAACAAGUCGACAACAAUAAACUUAGCAAGUCAGACAAAAAGAGUCGACCCUCCAACCAAUGUGGUUCGAAAGAAGUCAGGAACAAACAUGAUGAACAAAGAACAGGUGGGAAGAAGAGGUAUGAUUCUGAUGCUACCGAGCCUUAAUCUGAGAAUGAGAAACAACAGUUGCGCAGCUAAUGACGACAAAAUCAGAAAAGAAAUGUGGACAAUGUGGAAUCGAGUCUUCUGAAGAACAAGUAUGUGAUUCAAGUGGCAAGAAUGGCCUAUAAAAGAGAUGAAGAAGAAGCUGGGUGCAAGCAUGACAAGGAAAGAUAUAUAAGAGAUUCCCGUAGAAAGAAAAUUGCAAGAAACUCUGUUGAUGGUUAGGUUAGGAAUGAAAAAAAAAAGAGGAAGCUGAAGUAUGAAAGUAACCAAAUAGGAAAUCACAUAAGAAAGGAGGACGAGGAAUACUCUCACCAUAAGAGGGACAUUUAUGGAAUCGAUGGUGUAUAGACAUGGAACAGUCAAGAAUGAUGAUGAUGAGGGUGGCUAUAAUAAGCAUACGAUUGAUAGGUUGGUAAAACGUGUAUGACCUGAAACGAAGAGAAGAAACCCCCACUUACACAUAUUCUUUAUUAUGUUAGUCAUACUACUCUUUUUUGGUGUUCUUAUAUGUAAACCUAUUUAAAAUAAAAAAAAAACAAUUGUUGAUUGAA